rnacentral:lncRNA from 1 species
UGAGUCAGCUGAAUCCUCAUCCACAGAGCCCCAUCGAGGAGAGGAUGUGGUCGGGUGUCAGAGAGAAAUGCUAUCUCAGCAUGAGGGAAUCGCGGCUAACGAGGCAGGCGCUGUCUGCAGUGGCUUCAGAGCGGCUCUGACGAGCAUCUCCUGGUUAGGAGGUGAGCGGUCUCUCUAGGGAGGACACAGCCUGGCCACAGGAAGAGAGGGACUUCUCCUACCUAGACCUGAAUCUUGAAACCCUGGCGACAUCAGAGUCACUAGGUCCAUGUGACACCU